rnacentral:rRNA from 1 species
UACAGAGGGUGCAAGCGUUAAUCGGAAUUACUGGGCGUAAAGCGUGCGUAGACGGUUACAUAAGUCGGGUGUGAAAGCCCCGGGCUCAACCUGGGAAUUGCAUUCGAGACUGCGUAGCUAGGGUGCGGAAGAGGGAAGCGGAAUUUCCGGUGUAGCGGUGAAAUGCGUAGAUAUCGGGAGGAACACCAGUGGCGAAGGCGACUACCUGGCCCAUUCUUGACGCUGAGGCGCGAAAGCUAGGGGAGCGAACGGG